UGAGGAAUAUUGGACAAUGGGCGAAAGCCUGAUCCAGCCAUGCCGCGUGCAGGAAGAAUGCCCUACGGGUUGUAAACUGCUUUUAUAUAGGAAUAAACCCCUCUACGUGUAGAGGGCUGAAGGUACUAUACGAAUAAGGAUCGGCUAACUCCGUGCCAGCAGCCGCGGUAAUACGGAGGAUCCAAGCGUUAUCCGGAUUUAUUGGGUUUAAAGGGUGCGUAGGCGGGGCAAUAAGUCAGUGGUGAAAUCUUCCAGCUUAACUGGGAAACUGCCAUUGAUACUGUUGUUCUUGAGUUUGGUUGAAGUAGGCGGAAUGAGGCAUGUAGCGGUGAAAUGCAUAGAUAUGCCUCAGAACACCGAUUGCGAAGGCAGCUUACUAAGCCAAUACUGACGCUGAGGCACGAAAGCGUGGGUAGCGAACAGG
rnacentral:rRNA from 1 species